rnacentral:tRNA from 1 species
GGUCCGGUAGCUCAGCUGAAUAGAGCAACUGCCUUCUAAGCAGUAGGUCACAGGUUUGAAUCCUGUCCGGAUCA